rnacentral:rRNA from 1 species
GACGUAGGGCGCGAGCGUUGUCCGGAUUUAUUGGGCGUAAAGAGCUCGUAGGCGGCUUGUUGCGUCGACUGUGAAAACCUGCGGCUCAACCGUGUGGUCUGCAGUCGAUACGGGCAGGCUGGAGUUCGGUAGGGGAGACUGGAAUUCCUGGUGUAGCGGUGAAAUGCGCAGAUAUCAGGAGGAACACCGGUGGCGAAGGCGGGUCACUGGCCCGGUACUGACGCUGAGGUGCGAAAGCGUGGGGAGCAAACAGG